rnacentral:rRNA from 1 species
UACGAAGGGGGCUAGCGUUGCUCGGAAUGACUGGGCGUAAAGGGCGCGUAGGCGGUUUGGACAGUCAGAUGUGAAAUUCCUGGGCUCAACCUGGGGGCUGCAUUUGAUACGUUCGGACUAGAGUGGGGAAGAGGGUCGUGGAAUUCCCAGUGUAGAGGUGAAAUUCGUAGAUAUUGGGAAGAACACCGGUGGCGAAGGCGGCGACCUGGUCCUUGACUGACGCUGAGGCGCGAAAGCGUGGGUAGCAAACAGG